UACAACACAGACAAUGUAAAUGCCUCUCGAUCACGUUGACUAUCACGAAGCAGAAACGCACCAUUUUUGCCAAUUCUUGUGCAGAUUCUCAUGGCUUCGUUGCUUGAGAUACAUCCAUGGUACCACGGCAGUGACUCUGCCAUAAUAGGGUUACAAGAUUAGCAAAACUGAUGUUGAUCGCCUUCUACAUUUAACUCAUUUAAUUGACUUGUGUAUAAUUGUGUUUGUCCGUUCCCCAUGAGCAGUCACAAAUAAUAUUGUGAAGCAGUCCAGCUGAGACAAUUGUUGAAUGUAGCACAAAAGGCUGAAGACAGACAGAAGAGAAUUGGAGUAGGUUAGAAUUUCCGGCUGUAAAUUGAAUUAAUG